GCCAGACUCCUACGGGAGGCAGCAGUGGGGAAUCUUCCGCAAUGGGCGAAAGCCUGACGGAGCAACGCCGCGUGAUCGAAUGAAGGCCUUCGGAUUGUAAAGAUCUGUUGACAGGGACGAAUAAGCAAUGCGAAUAGUUUUGUGUAUGACGGUACCUGUUUAGAAAGCUCCGGCUAACUACGUGCCAGCAGCCGCGGUAAUACGUAGGGAGCAAGCGUUGUCCGGAAUUACUGGGCGUAAAGGGCGCGUAGGUGGGCGCUUAAGUCAGGUGUGAAAACUCCGGGCUCAACCUGGAGACUGCACUUGAAACUGGGUGUCUUGAGGGCAGGAGAGGAAAGUGGAAUUCCUAGUGUAGCGGUGAAAUGCGUAGAUAUAUGGAAGAACACCAGUGGCGAAGGCGGCCGCCUGGCCUGUUACUGACGCUGAGGCACGAAAGCGUGGGGAGCAAAUAGGAUUAGAUACCCCUGUA
rnacentral:rRNA from 1 species